CGCGGUUUGGAAGCUCCAUCUCCGAGCCGGGGAUCUGCCCCAAAAUCUUCUCAGCUAUGUCGCCCGGACCAGCUCGGUGGCGUGGGCGCUGCUCCCCAGGCUGAGAGCCUCCGGCCGGCCGUAAAGCCCAGCUUGUCCUGGUGAAGUCUGCAAAAGGGAGCGUCAGUGCUGAGGGAGCUUCCGUCACCUCCCUCAGUGUUUCUGCCCCAGGUAGGUAGCCGAGCAGAAGCGCACCGACGUGGCCUUCAAUCUACGAGGACUGCAGGCUGGUGGAGAAGAGGAUCGAGGACUUCACUGUCUCUCUCUUCAUCAUGCUCAAGUCCAAGUGGCUGGAUAGGGCCCCCAACAAGUCUGGGGAUAAGAUCCCCCUCCUCUGCACCUUGUUUGAGAAGGAGGACUUCAUGGGAUUGGACACAGACAGCAGGAGGACUUGACCUGGGAUGACAGCCUCUCAGAUCUCUCUGAGGGACUGCUCAGAAGAGGUUCGGGAGGAAAUAGGAUAUAGAGGAGCUUUACAACAAAGACCGGGAAGUUGGAACAAUAAAAGAUUGCUUGUUAUCUAAAGAAAGCCAGACUGACUAUGGAUAAUCUGCAACCUUGGAAAGCAACCGAGAUGGAAUUACUGCAGUACGUUUUGGUUACUGAGACCCUCGAAUUCCCAUAUGAAUUGUAGUAGCAGCUAGUCAGUUUUUGCAGAGGAGCCUGCUGGGAUUGUAAUCGAAACCACGUUGUAUGUAUGGAUCGCUCUGGGGAAAACUGCCACUCCAAGAACACUGUCUUCUGAUCCAGGAAUGUGCGUGUUGUGUCUGUCCAGGUGAUACUGCUCUGGUUGCUGCCUGUGCCCUACCCCCAGCCUUGGUUUUGGAGUUGAGUGCCCUCACCUCCAGUGGCAUCCAUCCAGACACCAGCACUGACACUGGCCGUGCUCAGAUCUGCCUCAGCCCUGAAGACACAACUGACAAAUAGAAGGGGGCCAUGCCCUGUUACAGCAGGUGCUCUCACUUUGUGGGUCCUUAUGUAACUGCGCAUUGUUAUUCAGGAUCGCCCAUUCUACAUUGUUUGAAGCUGCUGCGGUGUCUCCUAGUUAUUUGUUUCUGAUCUGAGAAGCAGGAGCAAGGAAUUCAGGGAGAGAUCCAGGAAGACAUCUGACUCUGUUAAGAGACGACAUUCACAGCGACAAGGGGAGCGAAGACACUUGCAGCAAAGCAAAAUGAAUUCACAACGAUUGCAUCAGAGCUGCAGGUGUGAGAGAGCCUAAGCCUGUCUCAGAGUGCAGGGGACAAGUGGAAAGGAAUGUGUAAGAAUGCCGGAGA